CACCGCGGUUAUACGAGGGGCCCAAGUUGACAUGCACCGGCGUAAAACGUGGCUAGGAUACACACCCACACUAAAGCCAAACACCUUCAAAGCUGUAAUACGCAAUCGGAGACAGGAAGUCCCACCACGAAAGUAGCUUUAUCUGAUCUGAGCCCACGAAAGCUAGGGGA
rnacentral:rRNA from 1 species